rnacentral:rRNA from 1 species
UACGAAGGGGGCGAGCGUUGUUCGGAAUUACUGGGCGUAAAGGGCGCGUAGGCGGUGUGUCAAGUCAGGCGUGAAAGCCCGGGGGCUCAACCCCGGGAGGCGGGUGGAUACUGUCAAGCUCGAGUCCGGAAGAGGCGAGUGGAAUUCCUGGUGUAGCGGUGAAAUGCGCAGAUAUCAGGAAGAACACCCGUGGCGAAGGCGGCUCUCUGGGACGGUACUGACGCUGAGACGCGAAAGCGUGGGGAGCAAACAGG